UCUUCCAGUUUUUGUCAGAGAGAUGCAGAUGGCCCUUCUGGCUGGCUGCUCUUUGCAUGGCUCCUGCUAGUCCGGUGGGUCCAGCCAGCCAGGAUCACAUGUGGCUGCAUGUGGCUGAGAGAGAGGAGAGACUGACUGGCUGCCAGGCCUGGGAAGGCGGCCUGCUUUCAGGCUGGCCCAGUUCCUCCUCUGUGCUUCUUCUGCCUGAGCUGCUCAGCUGAGUCAGAGCUUUGCAGAUGUGCAUCAGCUGGAGCUGGGUGGAGAGCUAGAGGCGGAAAAAUGGGAUGCCAUGGCAACGCCUUGCUCCCCACUCGCCCCCUCCAGUGGCAAAGCCAUGGAAACGAGGCUCCCGUUCUUAUCCACCAGCUUCUGGUUGCUUCUGCAGAGGUUGAUGUGCCUUUUGGAAACUACAUAACCCAGCAUGCAACGGUGCGCACGCAUGAGCAGGGAGUGUUGUUUUGAUUCCUCCAAAGCACUGCAUGCUGGGCAAUGUAGUUUCAUCCAGCCAGGACACCCUCGCUGUCUCAAGGCUGCUGCUCACCCCAAGGAAGGGAGGCUCCCAGUCUGAGGAGGCCCAGCACUUAACUGGAGAGAAAGGAGGGAAAGAGCAAAGAGAAUGAACUGAGGCAGGGAACAUUUGUCAGCCCAAAGGCUGCAAUUCCCCCCGGGCACCUUGGUGGUCAAGGGCAGAGGCAGAACUGGAUGUGAUAUUUUUCUAUCUGUCAUCUAUCUAUCUCUCUCAUAAAAUUUAUACACAGCUUGAUUGUAAAAAACAAACAAACCCCCAAAACAAACCCAAAGCCGAUUGCAAACAAGAAAAUGAAGGGAAACGUACAACAGUGUUUUAAAACAUAUAAUACGAAGCCUGCAAUACAAAGCACUCGAGGAAACUGCAGAGGAGAGCCAGUGUGAGGUCUGGGGGCCACAAUCAGUCCUUAGGAUGCCUGAGAUUCAUCACCGGCCCUAAACUAGACCCUCCCGCCUAACCGCUUCCCCCCAAAUCUUCAUUACUGUUUGAUCCUGACCAGAACAGGAAAGGCGAAACAAGCUGGUCAUUGUCUGAGCCAAUUUGGAAAGGAUGCAAACUGGCAGGGCAGCGUGGGGUGAGGUGAGGUCAGGAAACAAGAACUACCGAAGCUCUGCAUAUAAUGAGGCCUUGUUCAGGACCUGUUCCCUCUAGAGUCCUGUUCACCCAAAGUGUGGGUGAGUCAAGCCUUCCUUCCCUUGUUUUGGGGUGUUUAAUGGGCCAGAAAAAGUGGUCCUCAUAGGCAGAGCUGUUCCAGUUCAUUGGCCUCGCAUAACAGGCUACGCUGAGAGGCAGAGAAGUUGCAAACCCACCAUUAUCUCUCUGUCCCUCCCAGGCACACCAGCCCCCCAGCCCCCCUAUCGUCCGGCAACAGACACUCGCCACACCCUCCAAGGCUCCUUUCCUCUUGGGCUUCAUCCUUCCGCUCACCCUUUCCCAGGCUGCCUCGCAGACACCCGCCCCCUUUAGCUUGAAGGGGGUGUAAUAAACGAAAAUCUGCCCUUAUUCCCUUAUGGGGGACACAAGAGCCCUUAUAGGGUCCUUUGUAGGUUCUCCAUUGGUAGGAGAAAAUAACAGAGGCCAGCCAGAGAAUAUUGAGAAGCAAAGCAGCUAGUAAGCCUGAUCUUUAUUAAACUGUUGCAACAGGGUGCUCCCCUCACACGCAGGAAAGGAGGAGGACCCCAAACAAAGGUGUGCCCACCAUUAUAUAGACAUUUUAAAUUGCCCGCCCUGGAGUCCAAGACCACCCCCAGAAACAUCAUACAUACAUCACAGAAGGGGCGGUCUACAACAGAAAUCUGAGCGCGUUGUUUGCCGGAAAUCUGAGUGCGUUGUUUACCUCCUGUCUGGCAGGUGACCUGUUAAUGCUCACUUGAUUGGAUACCCUGGGGCGCCUGGCCACUCUUUUGUAAUGAUAAAUACUUAGUUCCUGAGCCAGGUCACAGGCUCACCCUAUUCAUACACAGACACACCCUUAAGACAGGCUUUGUGAAGGAAAAGACAAUGGGGAGGCUUUUCCAUUUUCCUUGACCUUGAAGAGAAAACAUUUGGUCAGUUUGAGAGUCAAAAUGGUUUCUGGGCUGUUUUCCUGAGCUGCUUCAGACAUGUGGUUUAUAUAUUUAUGUACAUGUUUGCUUGGUGCAUUUAGGAACAUUUAUUAUAUAUAUAAGACCUUAAUUCUUUUAUUUCAGAGGGAGGGUGGUGUGAGAACUUUCUGGCAGUAAGAGAUGUUCACAGCAGAAUAGACUCCCUUGGAAGGUGGUGGACUCACCUUGCUUGGAGGCUUUUAAGCAGAGGUCAUGUGACUGUUUGCCCGAGAAAGCUUUAGUUGGGAUUUCUGCACUGCAGGGGGUUGGACUAGAGGACCCUCGGGGUCCCUUCCAACUCUACCAUUCUAGGAUUCCAGGAGUGGUGGGCCAGGACCCAGAAGAGACCAGAAUUCAAACCCCAUAGUCAGCCAUGAAGCUCCCUUGGAGGCCAGACACAUUGCCUCUCAGCCUAACCUACCUCACAGGGUUGUUGUGGGGAUUAAAGAAGGAAGGGGAGAAAACCAUAUAUGCCACCCCAAGCUCCUUGGAGAAUAAGGUGAGGUAUGACUGCCCCUGAAGGACCAGGUGCGCAGCCUGGGAGUCAUUUUGGACUCACAGCUGUCCAUGGAGGUGCAGGUCAAUUCUGUAUCCAGGGCAGAUGUUUACCAGCUCCAUCUGGUAUACAGGAUGAGACCCUCCCUGCCCGCAGACUGUCUCGCCAGAGUGGUGCAUGCUCUAGUUAUCUCCCGCUUGGACUACUGCAAUGCGCUCUACAUGGGGCUACCUUUGAAGGUGAACCAGAAACUACAACUAAUCCAGAAUGCGGCAGCUAGACUGGUGACUGGGAGCGGCCGCUGGGACCAUAUGACACCGGUCUUGAAAGACCUACAUUGGCUCCUAGUACGUUUCCGAGCACAAUUCAAAGUGUUGGUGCUGACCUUGAAAGCCUCGGUCCAGUAGACCUGAAGGAGCGUCUCCACCCCCAUCGUUCUGCCCAGACACUGAGGUCCAGAUCCGAGGGCCUUCUGGCGGUUCCCUCAUUGCGAGAAGCAAAGCUACAGGGAACCAAGCAGAGGGCCUUCUCGGUGGUGGUGCCCUCCCUGUGGAACGCCCUCCCACCAGAUGCCAAAGAAAUAAACUAUCUGACUUUUAGAAGACAUCUGAAGGCAGCCCUGUUUAGGGAAGCUUUUAACAUUUUAUGAAUCCUUGUAUUUUAAUAUUCUUCUGGAAGCCGGUUAGCAAAUGGAAAGGCCUUGGGCAAGAACACAGCAGCCUGGCUUGUGUGAUGGAAACCUGGCAGGGUGAUGGGGGGGGGGGAGAUGUGCAGGGUUUCCUUGGAAAAUCUGUGCGCCUUGAGAAGCAGUAGGAGCAGGGGCCUGGGACCUCUCCAGAUGCUUCUGCCUGGCCAGGGGCAAGUCCAGCAGUCAGUGGAUCUUGGGUGUCUCUCUACCCAGUGCUGAGUACCUGAGAGAGGACAGGGAUUCUGUUAAGGUACCAUCCGCCCUGCUCCCAAAGGGAUUCCCUCCCUCACCUCCCCAGUACUUGAGGUCUGGAGGGGGUUCAGUCCUCUGGAGCCUUCAGGGCACCCCUGAACCUGUCUCAGAUAAUGUCUCCACCCAGCACAUGUGGCGGGACAUGCUUUGGCCCUGCACUUUAGGGGGCUUGAUUAUUACUAUUACUAGUUUAAAUAUGUUUUUAAUGAAAGUUUUUCCAUAAGUAACAAAAGCACAUUCUGCAUCUCCGUUUGAGACAUUUUUGUUAUAGGCAAUGUGGGGUUGUGGGGAAAAGAGAGGCGAGGAGAAGGGAGGAAAUAGAGAAAGAGG